rnacentral:lncRNA from 1 species
AUCAACAAACCCUAUCUUGUUUCUAGCUGAUAGAGAAACCAUUACAUUUCUUCUCCAUCCCCAAAACCAACCCCUGAGAAUGGGUUGGUGACCAAGGAUAUACCAGGAACAUCAGAUGACAUAAGAAAUAAAGGGUUUGUGGGGCUAGGAACGAAUGUUGUAGGUUCAGAAGUAGAAUCUUCAUCAUUUCCCACCAUUUUGACUACUGAAUAUGUUGAAAAACCCAAAUAAACCAACAACUCUCAAUUACAGACUCAAAACUCACCAACAAUCGGUUGAAAACUCAAAAUAGGCCAACAAAUCGUAAUUACAAACUCAAGCUAACCAACAACUGUAACUACAAACUCAUCAAAUCAACAGAUCGUGACUACAAAAACAACUAACACAAUAUCCAACCAAAAAAAAUCAACAAAAACACAUGCUAACACAUUUAUACAACAUGAAACAAACUUUACAGACAAACAAAAAAUCAACAAAAACACAUGCUAACUCAUUUAUACAAUAUGAAACAAACUUUACAGACAAAAAUUGAGAGUUUUACGAGGAACUAACCAAAUCGAGAAAACCCUAGUUUCUGAAAAUCAACAAAAAACUGGACGAGAACGGUUGAGGGUAACAUCGAUCGAAUCCUCAUGACGAGUAGAGUCGGAAUAUACCCGCUCUGAUACCAUGUCAACAUUGUAACUCGUCGAUUUGAAGAAAGAAAGGAAGAAGAAGAUGAACAGUGCGAGAGGAAAGAGAAGAGAGGAAAAUCUGAGAAAAUAUCGAAAUGAUUUCAUCUNNNNNNNNNNNNNNNGAAGCUUCCGCUUCUGUAUAUACAAAACAAUAAAGAAUAUAAUGUGUGUGUGUGAAAUUACAUGUGUGUCCCUUUCUUUAUAUACAAACAUAUACAGCAACUAAAUAAUACAAUUGCCCUUGGGCUAGUAUUGGGCUAGUGUCAACUAAAACAUUAUUGGGCUGAAGUUGUGGAUCCAAUCUGAAGUCCAAC